rnacentral:rRNA from 1 species
UACGGGGGGAGCAAGCGUUGUUCGGAUUUACUGGGCGUAAAGGGCGCGUAGGCGGUCAGCACAAGUCAGUUGUGAAAUCUCCGAGCUUAACUCGGAACGGUCAACUGAUACUGUGCGACUAGAGUGCGGAAGGGGCAACUGGAAUUCUCGGUGUAGCGGUGAAAUGCGUAGAUAUCGAGAGGAACACCUGCGGCGAAGGCGGGUUGCUGGGCCGACACUGACGCUGAUGCGCGAAAGCCAGGGGAGCGAACGGGG